GUCACUUUGUCUUUAUGGCAAAUGUGAGAUGCAGUGUAUGGAACGUCUUAAAUCUAGUAUGAGAAAUUAACGAUUUAAGUCCUUCUUAAAUGAGGCCAUUUACCCAUAGAGGGUGCCAGGCCCGUAUAACGUUAAUGAUUACUAGAAGAUGUUUCCAAAGAGUCGUGUUGCUUGAUAGUGCAGCACUAAGUGGGUGGUAAACUCCAUCUAAAACUAAAUAUAACCAUGAGACCGAUAGUAAACAAGUACCGUGAGGGAAAGUUGAAAAGAACUCUGAAUAGAGAGUUAAAUAGUACGUGAAACUGCUUAGAGGUUAAGCCCGAUGAACCUGAAUAUCCAUUAUGGAAAAUUCAUCAUUAUGCCUAUGAUAUUAAUAAUAUUGUGGUAAUAGUGUGCAUUUUUUCUGUAUAAGGACAUUGUAAUCUAUUAACAAAUUUUGAAUAUUUAUCAAAAGAUCGUUGGGCUUAUGUUCAUUCAAAUUAAUUUGCUUGCAUUUUAACAUAGAAUGAGUGCUUACGAUUUGAUAAAGUGUUGAUAGAUUUAUUAUAUAUAGUGCUGAAAUUUUUUUAAAAUUUUACAAUAGCAUUUAAAUCAUGAUUUUUAUGUUUAUUGUAUGCACUUAUAUGAUUAACAAUGCG
rnacentral:rRNA from 1 species